GUGGCUUUCAACUCCUUAUCCCUUUUCAUUCUGAACGGCUGAGAAACCUGCUCAGAAGAAAGUAGGUCAAGUUAUUGUUUGUUGUUGCCGAGUGAAUGUGCAUUUUCCAAUGGUGUUUCACAGAGUGACUCCACAGACAUUGAACUAAUUGAUGUUUUAGAACCUUUGUUACAUUUGGAAUCAUCAUGGAUCAUGCAGAAUUUGCCCAUCAGCACUGUAACAGAAGGUUUUAUCUACCUUUGACUUUUCCAGUAAAAUAGGUUACUGCUGAAACCCUGUGCGUUAUCACAAAGUGACACACUGCAUCUAGGAAUCACAUUACUGUACUAGGCAAGUGACAUCAGCAUGCGACAGGAUCUGGAAAAUUAAAUACCUAUUUGGAUUUGCAUUCAGCACAACCGGACGGGAGAAGUGUGACACUUCACACCCCUUCAGCAUUGCUUAUUCCUCUUCUCUGUGUCAACUGGCGCUUCAACA